rnacentral:lncRNA from 1 species
UCAAUAUCUCAUCAUCCCAUCGCACUGUAUUUCUAUUAAUAUUCUAAUUCUAUUAUCAAUUGCUUACUUACUAAUUCUAAACCAAGUGUCAAACUUUAUCUAUUUAAUCUGCAUGUAUGAUUAUUAGUUAUAUUGGUCAUUCUCUUGGAGUCUUGUACGUGUCAUAUGACCUAGUUCUCAAAUCUCAAUUGAUUAAUGUUUUGAUCCAAUUUAGUCCCAAUAUCUCAUCAUCUCAAAUCUCAUGUGUAUCAGCAAGAGGGGCUAAUCCGAACGUGGUUUGUCUCCAUUCAAUUGAGAGGGAAGCCCCCGGGACGCUACGGUGCCUUAGCUGGUUCCCGAUCCUCCUUCAAAAGUGGGAAAGAGAGGCGGAAGGCGCCCCUUCCAAACAAUGAAAAAAAUCCGAGGAACUUCGAAGCUUAUAGGGCCUCCUCUUGUAAGCUAGCUCCAUUCGAUCGAUCGCUUCCGUUCAUAAUAGAUUGGUUGUGAAUUAAUUGAUUAAUGCCUUGAUAGUCUCAAUAUCCCAUCAUCCUAUCACACUGUAUUUCUAUUGAUAUUCUAAUUAUAAUCUCAAUUGCUUGCUUAUUUUAUUGUAGAUAACUAAUGCUUUUGAUGUGUAUAUAUAUAGAUAUAUAGUUGUAAUAGUACCAACAUUUGAUUCAUAGUUAUUAGAUUGUGUUUUUCCGUCCUGUUAGGUUUAAGGAUUAUACACUCGUUUACUGUAUUGUUAGAGCGGUGAUUGUGUGCUUAGUUAUUAGAUUUUGCUUCUAUUCAAGAGCGUAUGGUUCAAUUUGAGUAUGUUUGUUCUUUUAUCUUUAGCUUUUGUUAUCGAAUUUCUAUAAAAUGUUAAAAUAUUAAUUUCUUAAUGAUCAGUUAACUACGUGAUUAUUUGAUAUGUUUUUAAUCUAAAAUGUGAUAUGUAAAAUAUAGAAGAAAAAAAAAUAAAACAAUUUUAAGAAAAAAAUUUCAGUCCACCCCAACCUAAAAUCCUAGGUCCAACAUUGUGUGUGUGUGUAUAUAUUUAUAUAUACAGUCCGUUUCAGAUACGAACGUCCACACCGUAAACGGUGCGGACGUCCGCACCUGAUAACUGUUGUGUAUAUAUAUAUAUAUAUAUAUCAUGAAAUUAGAUUAAUUUAUAAUUAAUUUGAUCAAGAGAUUAACGUAAUCUUGUAAGGCUAUAACAUAUUCGAUCCUAUAAUGCAGUUCAUUGCAUUUAUAACUAGUACUGUCUAUGCAGCUUGUAAUCACAAGGAAGUAAAAGCUAGCGUCAGAGAUAGAUAGCGAAUUAGGGCUCUCUUGCAUACCCAAGAUGAAUUACCUACCCUACCUGGUCAUUGUUUGCCCAUAAUGCAACUCGAUCGAACACGGAACCAAAUUUGCCAACCAUCAAAUUUGGUGGUCANNNNN